GAGGGUGCCUCUGACCGUGCCCGAUGACACCAACCUGCCCAAUGAAGCACGGGCGACCGUGGGGAGGGUGUUCCCUGUGGGAACCCUCGCCAUUCACGGCGAGGAGGAGGUCAGCUCCUCCACGUUC
rnacentral:sRNA from 10 species